rnacentral:rRNA from 1 species
UACGUAGGCAGCAAGCGUUGUUCGGAGUUACUGGGCGUAAAGGGUGUGUAGGCGGUCUUCUAAGUUUGGUGUGAAAUCUCCCGGCUCAACUGGGAGGGUGCGCCGAAAACUGGGAGGCUAGAGUGCGGGAUGGGAGAGUGGAAUUCCAGGUGUAGCGGUGAAAUGCGUAGAUAUCUGGAGGAACACCGGUGGCGAAGGCGGCAUUCUGGACCGACAUUGACGCUGAGGAGCGAAAGCCAGGGGAGCAAACGGG